ensembl:lncRNA
CCUCUCCGCCGCACGCCCGCCGCGGGCCCGCCCCCCGCGGCGCCGACGUGCACGCCCGUUGGCCGAGCCUACCAGCACCGCCCCCACAGCGAACCCUACCGCCACCGCCCAUUGGGCCAUUUGGACCCGGGCGGGCCCCGGAGCGGGGAUUGGUUCUCGUUCGGCCCCGUCCCAGGGUGGUUACUGCUCGCUCAUUGGCCCGCGGAGACGCCCGUCAAGUGGAGGGGGCGGGAAGCAGGCGCUGGGAGGUGAGGCUGUGGCGUUGACCUGGGAGGGGUUGAAGGCUGGGGUUGGAGUUCGCAAAGGCCGAGGGUCACCUCGGAACCGGGAUUCGGGGCAGCGCAGCCCUCGCUGGCCCGGAUGCGGCUAACAGAUGCUGGUGGGCGCCUGCUAGGGCCUGUCCCCCGAAAUCUCGUUUGAAGCGAGGUCAAGGGUCAAAAAGUAGCCGAAAGUGGCCAAUUGAAGGCAGAAAGCCUUUAUUAAGCGUCUCUCAGGCCAGACGGGGCGAGAAGUGCGUUGGACCGUCUCUACCCUAAAGAAUCUCACGGGGUAAAACGCAGUACUCAGCUGGCAUAGUGCCAGCAAAGUGCUUUGGAUGAAAAAUACAGAGAUGGUAAAAUACUAGGGCUUGAUGAAAUUGAAAAUUCCUCCGGGCCUGUGGGGUUUUUCUACCUGUCUGUUUUUUAUCUCUUGAUUAUUUUGCCAGAACAAGCUGCUUGUUUGACACCGUCAGAUUUGGGCUCCAGGCUGCGAGUUUUGAGCUUGACACCUGUGGACUGCCUAAAUCUAUGCGUGAAAUUGAGUGUGUCCUUGUGUGUGUUCUUGGGGACAUCUAGGACUUUCAUCAGAUUCUCAAAAGACCCACAGAAAGCGGAUUGCUGUGGCUUUGGGGGCGGGGGGACCACAAGUCACACCAACAUACAAGCCAGCCCUAAUCAGAACAUGUAGAUUAGCCCCAAAUUCCUUUUCCUUAAUCAUAAAGAGCAGAGCAGAAACCAAUGAAACAGAAUAGACAAAAAAAAAAACAAAAAAACCACAAGGAAAACUGAUGAAGCCAAAAGACUAUUCAUUGAAAGGNNNNNNNNNNNNNNNNNNNNNNNNNNNNNNNNNNNNNNNNNNNNNNNNNNNNNNNNNNNNNNNNNNNNNNNNNNNNNNNNNNNNNNNNNNNNNNNNNNNACACAAGGAAAACUGAUGAAGCCAAAAGACUAUUCAUUGAAAGGAUCAAAACAACUGUUAAAACUGUCCAGACUAACCAAGAAAACUAGGUGACCUAAAAGGAUUAGAUAUAGGAACAACUCUAUGCCCAAAAUUCAAUAGGAAAUAGACCAACACCUGAAAAGUCACUAAAAUGAAAACUCAAUGAAGAAGAAACAUAAUCUGCAUAGUCUUAUAUCUAUUAGAGAAAUUAAAUCUGUAGGGAAAAACCUUUCAACAAAGACAAUUAAGGCCCAGAUGUUUUCAUUCAUGAAUUUCCAUCAAACAUUUUAGGAAGGACUUCUCUGCUGGUCCAGUGGUUAAUUGAGAAUCUGCCUGCUAAUACAGGAGACACCAGUUCAAUCUCUAGUCCAGGAAGAUUCCACAUGCAUCAGGGCAGCUUACCCCCUGCGCCGCAAGAACUGAGCCAGCACUUUAGAGCCUCUGCUCUGCAAUAUGGGAAGCCCCUGACAAUGAGUAGCCCCGACUCUGAUGCAACUAGAGAAAGCCCAUGAACAACAACGAAGACCCAGGGCACCCCCCAAAAUUUUUUUUAAAAAUUUUAAGAAGAAAUAACAUUGGUUCUAAACAAUCUUGCAGAAAAUGAAGAAGAGGCAACACUGCCCAAGUCAAAUUCCUUUUGGUAUUUUCUGUUUUUAACUGCUGACUUAUGCCCAGCUUUCUUAGAAUCUGGGGGUAUUUGAUAAUCUUGGCAUCCCACUCUCCUUCACUCCACCCCUCUCCUGAUGUGCAGGACACAUGGAAGGACAUAGGAAAUGUUUGGUGACCAUUGCAGAAAGAACAUGAAGGUGAAAUCUUGGCUCAGAUGUGACCUCCUCCAAGAAGUCCUCCUGGUCAUUCCCUCGAAUGUAGCCCCUUUCAAGUUUAGUUUUCUUCUUAACACUUGUCACCAGCAGAAACUAUCUUAUUUAUAUAUUUCUUUUCCCAUAUUUCUUUAGUCUCUGGAACUGCACUGGGAGCUCUCUGGGGCUGAGGCUGGAUAUGUCUUGGCCACUGCUGUGUCCUCAGCAAUUUGAGCUAUGUCAUUCAGUACAACAGCCACUGGCCACAUGUGUCUGUUAAUCUCUUGUAAUGUGGCUGCUGGAAUCGAGAUGUGCUGUGAGUGUAAUACACACUGGAGAUAUAUAUAUAUAUAUAUAUAAUGUAUUUAUUUUUUACUGCACUGGAUCUUUGUUGCUAUGCUCGGGCUUUCUCUAAUUGUGAGUGGAGGCGACUCUUUGUUGUGGUGUGUGCACUUCUCACUGCAGUGGCUUCUCUUACUGCAGAGCACGGGCUCUAGAGUAUAGGUUCAGUAGUUGUGGUGCAUGGGUUUAGCUGCUGCUUGGCAUACGGGAUCUUCCCGGACCAGAGACUGAACUGGUGUCCUUGCAUUGCAAGGCAGACUCUUAACCACUGGACCACCAGGGAAGCACUACACACUGAAUUUUGAAGGCCUAAUG